CGGCGUGCUAUACACGCAGUUUAGCGAAUGGAUUAAGAGCUUGCUCUUAUGAAGUUAGCGGCGGACGGGUGAGUAACACGUGGGUAACCUGCCCAUAAGACUGGGAUAACUCCGGGAAACCGGGGCUAAUACCGGAUAACAUUUUGAACCGCAUGGUUCGAAAUUGAAAGGCGGCUUCGGCUGUCACUUAUGGAUGGACCCGCGUCGCAUUAGCUAGUUGGUGAGGUAACGGCUCACCAAGGCAACGAUGCGUAGCCGACCUGAGAGGGUGAUCGGCCACACUGGGACUGAGACACGGCCCAGACUCCUACGGGAGGCAGCAGUAGGGAAUCUUCCGCAAUGGACGAAAGUCUGACGGAGCAACGCCGCGUGAGUGAUGAAGGCUUUCGGGUCGUAAAACUCUGUUGUUAGGGAAGAACAAGUGCUAGUUGAAUAAGCUGGCACCUUGACGGUACCUAACCAGAAAGCCACGGCUAACUACGUGCCAGCAGCCGCGGUAAUACGUAGGUGGCAAGCGUUAUCCGGAAUUAUUGGGCGUAAAGCGCGCGCAGGUGGUUUCUUAAGUCUGAUGUGAAAGCCCACGGCUCAACCGUGGAGGGUCAUUGGAAACUGGGAGACUUGAGUGCAAGAAGAGGAAAAGUGGAAUUCCAUGU
rnacentral:rRNA from 1 species